rnacentral:rRNA from 1 species
GUGCUUGCACUAGAAAAACUUAGCGGCGAACGGGUGAGUAACACGUAAAGAACCUGCCUCAUAGACGGGGACAACUAUUGGAAACGAUAGCUAAUACCGGAUAACAACAUAAAUCGCAUGAUAUAUGUUUAAAAGUUGGUUUCGGCUAACACUAUGAGAUGGCUUUGCGGUGCAUUAGCUAGUUGGUGGGGUAAAGGCCUACCAAGGCGACGAUGCAUAGCCGACCUGAGAGGGUGAUCGGCCACACUGGGACUGAGACACGGCCCAGACUCCUACGGGAGGCAGCAGUAGGGAAUCUUCCGCAAUGGGCGAAAGCCUGACGGAGCAACGCCGCGUGAGUGAAGAAGGAUUUCGGUUCGUAAAGCUCUGUUGUUAGGGAAGAAUGAUUGUGUAGUAACUAUACACAGUAGAGACGGUACCUAACCAGAAAGCCACGGCUAACUACGUGCCAGCAGCCGCGGUAAUACGUAGGUGGCAAGCGUUGUCCGGAAUUAUUGGGCGUAAAGCGCGCGCAGGUGGUUUAAUAAGUCUGAUGUGAAAGCCCACGGCUCAACCGUGGAGGGUCAUUGGAAACUGUUAAACUUGAGUGCAGGAGAGAAAAGUGGAAUUCCUAGUGUAGCGGUGAAAUGCGUAGAGAUUAGGAGGAACACCAGUGGCGAAGGCGGCUUUUUGGCCUGUAACUGACACUGAGGCGCGAAGCGUGGGGAGCAA